GAGGAAUCUCCACUGUGUCCCUAGACACCCCAUUGCAGACAUCUAUAUGGCUGGAGCAAAUACCCAAUCCUUAAGCAGCAAAACAAGCAACCAUGGAGCUGGUCCUACUCGGCCAGUUGUGCCCCGCGCUGCACUGUGGGAAGGGUGUACCAGGCUAAAUAUAUCUGCGUUGCCUGUGAAAUGCAGUAUGGGGUGCUGUGUCAUUUGGAGGAGUUUACUUGGAAACUAAGAAGGCACUGUUAAAGAGCUGCUGGCUGCAAGAGUGGGAUUUAAGGCAGAGGAGGG
rnacentral:lncRNA from 14 species